rnacentral:rRNA from 1 species
AUUGAACGCUGGCGGCAUGCUUUACACAUGCAAGUCGAACGGUAACAGGCCUUCGGGUGCUGACGAGUGGCGAACGGGUGAGUAAUGCAUCGGAACGUACCCAGAGGUGGGGGAUAACGCAGCGAAAGCUGUGCUAAUACCGCAUGUGAUCUGAGGAUGAAAGCGGGGGACCGAGCAGCAAUGUUUGGCCUCGCGCCUUUGGAGCGGCCGAUGUCGGAUUAGCUAGUUGGUGGGGUAAAGGCCUACCAAGGCGACGAUCCGUAGCUGGUCUGAGAGGACGACCAGCCAAACUGGGGCGGGGGCACGGCCCAGAACCCCGCGGGGGGCAGGCGUGGGGAAUUUUGGGCCAAGGGGGGAAGGCUGAAUCCGGAAAGGCGGGGGGGGGAAGAAGGGCUUCGGGUUUGUAAACGGUUUUGGCAGGAACGAAACGGUGUCCGCUAAUACCGGGCGCUAAUGACGGUACCUGCAGAAUAAGCACCGGCUAACUACGUG